CUAUCGAUAUCAACACAACAGCUGUCAUAAUUCCACGUAUUUGAAGUUAAUGUAUUUUACUAAUUUACCUACAAAUUACCAAUUUACCUUCAAAUAUUUGAAUCUUGUGAAGCUCUAAAUCUGUAGAGAAACAUCUAUUCUCUAUCUGGAGACAUUGCGUUUGCAAUUUACAUCUGAAAUCAGAGAAUAACCUACUCAAAAAUGGAAGGGUCACUCCUGGAACCUACUCUUUACACCGUGAAAGGCAUGCUAAUCUUGGACAAUGAUGGUCACCGCAUUUUGGCAAAGUACUACGAUCCGGCAAUCUUUCCCACCGCAAAAGAGCAGAAAACAUUUGAGAAGAACCUGUUCAACAAAACUCAUCGAGCAAACGCUGAAAUCAUCAUGCUUGACGGUUUGACCUGUGUUUACAGGUCCAACGUAGAUUUGUUUUUCUAUGUUAUGGGGAGUUGUCACGAAAACGAACUGAUCCUAAUGAGUGUUCUCCAGUGUCUCUACGAAUCUAUCAGUCAGAUUCUGCGCAAAAACGUGGAGAAACGGGUUGUCAUGGAAAAUCUUGACAUAGUAAUGCUAGCUAUGGACGAGAUUUGUGACGGAGGGAUAAUUCUGGAGGCUGAUUCACAGUCAGUCGUUCAACGGGUCGCACUGAGAACGGACGAUAUCCCUCUUGGAGAGCAAACCGUCGCACAGGUCUUCCAGUCCGCGAAGGAACAAUUGAAGUGGUCGCUGCUUAAAUGAGAAACAAUGGAGACCUUGAGUCUCUUUAAUAUUUUCGAUGACACACCGUCAUAAACUGUGAAAUAAGUGAGUGUAGUAUUCAAAAAGUAUCUAAAGACAAAUUCAAUAGAGAGGUUAACAUUGAUUGAGGUCCUUAUGUAUCUGAUUCAAUACAUGGUGAGGUUUAUAAUGAAUAUAUUCAAAUGUGUAUCUGACUGAUUCAAUAGUGGGGUUUACAAUUGUGAUAUUGAGGUCCUAACAUUGAUUGAGGUCCUUAUGUAUCUGAUUCAAUACAUGGUGAGGUUUACAAUGAAUAUAUUCAAAUGUGUUUCUGACUGAUUCAAUAGUGAUGUUUAAAAUAGAUAGGGUAUAUUCCAAUGUAGUUCACAAAUUGUAAAAGCAUGUGUAUUAUUCAAAAGUUCAGACCUAUUCAGUAGUCAGAUUUACAAUGAAUAUAUUCAAAUGUGUUUCUGACUGAUUCAAUAGUGAUGUUUAAAAUAGAUAGGGUAUAUUCCAAUGUAGUUCACAAAUUGUAAAAGCAUGUGUAUUAUUCAAAAGUUCAGACCUAUUCAGUAGUCAGAUUUACAAUGGAUAUAUUCAAAUGUGUAUCUGACUGAUUCAAUAGUGAUGUUUACAAUGGAUAGGGUAUAUUCCAAUGUAGUUCACAAAUUGUAAAAGCGAGUGAAGUAUUCAAAAGUUUAGACCAAUUCAAUAAGGAGGUUCUCAAUUGAUAUAUUCCAAUGUAGUUCACAAAUUGUUAAAUCGAGUGUAGUAUUCAAAAGUAUCUGACUGAUUCAAUAGUGGGGGUUCAAAAUUGUGAUAUAUUCAAAUAUAUUUCACAAAUUGUAAAAGCUAGUGAAGUAUUCAAAAGUUUAGAUCAAUUCAAUAGUGAUGUUCACAAUUGAUAUAUAUUCAAAUAUAGCUUACAGAUUGUAAAAGCGAGUGUUGUAUUGAAAGUAUCUAACCGAUUUAAUAGUGGGGUUUACAAUGGAUAGAUUUGAAGGUACAUUAUAGAUCGUCAUAAACUGAAAAAGGGAUUGUGGUAUUCGGAAAGUAUGAGACAGAUUUAAUAGUGUGAUUGCAGUGGAUUGAUCUAGAGGUAGCCUUCAUCAUAAACUUUUAAUAUGUUAGAAAGAUAUUCAAAAGAAGGUGUAAAUUUAAUAGAUAAUAGUUUCAUCUUUGUUAAAUUCAACACUGUACUUAGAGUUGCUUAUAGGCUAAUAAAAACGCUUUACACACAUGGGCUACUUUUUAACAAAUUAAUAAAAACAAUAUACAAAUUUUGUAGUACCCUUUAUUUUUUUAAAACUUUAAAAUAGUUAAACAACUAGUUUCGACCCUAACUUCAACAUUUCAACUUGGGAAUGACCUAAGUUAGGGUAGAAAUUAGUUGUUGAACUAUUUUAAUGUUAUUUUUAAAUAAAGGGCGCUACUACAAGAUUUUUCUAUUGUUUUUAUUAAUUUGUUCAAAUAAUUAUGAUAUUGUUUAAUCAGGUCUGGAGUAAGAUAUUUCAGGUCGAACCUGAUCAAUUUCAGUGCCUCUGAAAUGACCUUACGACUGUUCUUGAGCAGCCGGGACCGACAACUUGACGUGUCCAUUUGAAAACUAAUAGUAAUAUUGCUUAAAUGAUACGACACAAUCCAUUGUCUUGUUCCUAUUUAAUAAAUGGUUUAAAGCUGCGUUUACAUCAAAUUUAUUAACAAAAUGUUGAUAACUGUUAGGUUAUUAGAAGCAUAUAAAGAAGCAUUCCCAAUCUUUAUAGAUUCUAUUAGAUUGAACGGAACUUGACAAACACAUUAUGUUCAUCAUAUGCAUGAUAAGUUAUGUUCAAUCUAAUAGAAUCUAUAAGGAUUAAGUUAUUAACAUUUUGUUAAUAACUUUGGUGUGUACGCAGCUUUAUACAGAAUUUGAGUUUUAAAUCUCUUCAUAUCAUUGUAAGAUGGAUUGAAACUAGAUUAUUGCAGGAAUAAAACAAGGAGAACAAGGUAAAAUGUUAUUGAACAAUUUAUAAAAUAUUGAAAUAAUUCUGAACUUUGAAACCAGUGUUGAAUUUAACAUAGGUACAUCAAUAUGUGUACUUACAGUAUAUUAUUAUGGUGCAUUUCUAUGCAUUGUUCAAUAAUUUCAAAUUUCUGUUGUAGAUUAACUGGAGACAACUCUCAUGCGCUCUGAUAUGAUAUAAUUAACUUGUCAUAAAUAUUAUCAUAAAUAUUUCACAAAUUUCUGCUGUUAAUAGAUGCUUAGAUAUCCCAUUAAUAAUUCUAUUUAUUAUGGUGCAUUUCUAUGCAUGGUUCAGUAAUCUAAAAUUACUGUUGUAGAUAUUUCUGAAGAUAACUCUCAUGCGUUCUGAUAUGAGAUAAUUAACUUGUCAUAAAUAGCUUAUUAUCAAAAAUAUUUCACAAAUUUCUGCUGUUAAUAGAUGCUUAGAUAUCCCAUCAAUAAUUCUAUUUAUUAUGGUGCAUUUCUAUGCAUGGUUCAAUAAUCUAAAAUUACUGUUGUAGAUAUUUCUGAAGAUAACUCUCAUACACUCUGAUAUGAGAUAAUUAACUUGUCAUAAAUAGCUUAUUAUCAAAAAUAUUUCACAAAUUUCUGCUGUUAAUAGAUGCUUAGAUAUCCCAUCAAUAAUUCUAUUUUUAUGAUAAAUAGAUUAAUAUAGCAUUCCUACAAUUUUAUGUAAAACUAUAACUCUUGCUAUAGGUGGUUACUUGAAUCCAUGGUGAAUUCAUUGAUUGAAUCAUGAACUGAAUGAAUUACAAAAUAUUCCAUUGAUAAAUCUUAAACUAUUCCUUCACUGGAUUUCAAAUCAGAACUCUUUGAAUAGAUAAAUUGAUCCAGGUUUAUUUUUGCAACAUCUAAUUCAAUGUCUUUUGUACAUAGCUUCAUUGCUAAAAUAUCCUGCUAUUUGUAUUGAAGAUACAGAUCUUCCUGGCUAUGAAUAUAUAGGAUAUUAUGAUAUACACUAUAUUGGAAUUGAUGUUCCCCAACUACUAAGUAUUCAUAAUUAUUGUCUAUGAUUAAAGGGCUAGAAAAUAAGGUUUAUCAAAGUAAUUCACUGUAGAUACUGUUCAAUUUUCAAAUUUAUUGUCUAUAAAUACAUGGAUACACAAAUGAAAUUUAUCAAUACAAUUUGCUGUAGAUACACUUGAAUUUUCAAAUAUAUUGCUUAAGAAUGUAUGGUUUUAUGAAGCUACUC
rnacentral:misc_RNA from 1 species